AAAUUGUGCGGUUAACGGUCAAAGCCCCCCUGCCUACUUUGACACUCAUUUAAAGAUGACAGGGAACAAUAGAGAUUUGUUCUGUGCAACCCUUUCUUGUUAUGCCGGCGACAUCAGCUCCGCACAUGAAACUGCCCGAUAUUUCAUUCCACCUGCCACCUCCCUCCCGCCUCGGUCGACUCUCUCCUCUGCUACUUUGCUUGUCCCCACUUUAACACAAAGAGACAGCUCUGUGUUCACAGCACCUAACAGUGUUGAAAAAGAAUGCUAUUUAAAACCCGAGUUGAGACAUCACCUUUCCAAACCCAUGAUUGCUUCCUGGCUCACUAAACACGAACCAGAAAUUAAUGCUGCAAAGAGCAGAGACAAGAGAUUUCACUGUAUUAGCCAGGAUGGUCUCGAUCUCCUGACUUCGUGAUCUGCCCGCCUCAGCCUCCCAAAGUGCUGGGAUUACAGGCUUGAGCCACUGUGCCUGGCUUCAGGCUGGGAUUUUUAUAGCUUAUUAUGGCAAGGGAGGAGACGGAGAGUAAAAGAAGAAGAAAGAGCAUACACAGUCACCCCUUGUGUGACAAAUAUGCAAGAAAUAAAGAUAAAUGUGUACAAUUCUUACAAUUUUACUUUUCUGAAUUUUGCUAUUGCACUGAAUGAUUUGUGAUAAGACAGAUGGGGAUGAAAAAUAUACUUAUUAAAUAAAGUUAUUAAAAGCCCCUAAAA
rnacentral:lncRNA from 1 species